GAUGAACGCUGGCGGCGUGCCUAAUACAUGCAAGUCGAGCGAACGGACGAGAAGCUUGCUUCUCUGAUGUUAGCGGCGGACGGGUGAGUAACACGUGGAUAACCUACCUAUAAGACUGGGAUAACUUCGGGAAACCGGAGCUAAUACCGGAUGAUAUUUUGAACCGCAUGGUUCAAAAGUGAAAGACGGUCUUGCUGUCACUUAUAGAUGGAUCCGCGCUGCAUUAGCUAGUUGGUAAGGUAACGGCUUACCAAGGCAACGAUGCAUAGCCGACCUGAGAGGGUGAUCGGCCACACUGGAACUGAGACACGGUCCAGACUCCUACGGGAGGCAGCAGUAGGGAAUCUUCCGCAAUGGGCGAAAGCCUGACGGAGCAACGCCGCGUGAGUGAUGAAGGUCUUCGGAUCGUAAAACUCUGUUAUUAGGGAAGAACAUAUGUGUAAGUAACUGUGCACAUCUUGACGGUACCUAAUCAGAAAGCCACGGCUAACUACGUGCCAGCAGCCGCGGUAAUACGUAGGUGGCAAGCGUUAUCCGGAAUUAUUGGGCGUAAAGCGCGCGUAGGCGGUUUUUUAAGUCUGAUGUGAAAGCCCACGGCUCAACCGUGGAGGGUCAUUGGAAACUGGAAAACUUGAGUGCAGAAGAGGAAAGUGGAAUUCCAUGUGUAGCGGUGAAAUGCGCAGAGAUAUGGAGGAACACCAGUGGCGAAGGCGACUUUCUGGUCUGUAACUGACGCUGAUGUGCGAAAGCGUGGGGAUCAAACAGGAUUAGAUACCCUGGUAGUCCACGCCGUAAACGAUGAGUGCUAAGUGUUAGGGGGUUUCCGCCCCUUAGUGCUGCAGCUAACGCAUUAAGUACUCCGCCUGGGGAGUACGACCGCAAGGUUGAAACUCAAAGGAAUUGACGGGGACCCGCACAAGCGGUGGAGCAUGUGGUUUAAUUCGAAGCAACGCGAAGAACCUUACCAAAUCUUGACAUCCUUUGACAACUCUAGAGAUAGAGCCUUCCCCUUCGGGGGACAAAGUGACAGGUGGUGCAUGGUUGUCGUCAGCUCGUGUCGUGAGAUGUUGGGUUAAGUCCCGCAACGAGCGCAACCCUUAAGCUUAGUUGCCAUCAUUAAGUUGGGCACUCUAAGUUGACUGCCGGUGACAAACCGGAGGAAGGUGGGGAUGACGUCAAAUCAUCAUGCCCCUUAUGAUUUGGGCUACACACGUGCUACAAUGGACAAUACAAAGGGCAGCGAAACCGCGAGGUCAAGCAAAUCCCAUAAAGUUGUUCUCAGUUCGGAUUGUAGUCUGCAACUCGACUACAUGAAGCUGGAAUCGCUAGUAAUCGUAGAUCAGCAUGCUACGGUGAAUACGUUCCCGGGUCU
rnacentral:rRNA from 1 species